rnacentral:rRNA from 1 species
GAUGAACGCUGGCGGCGUGCUUAACACAUGCAAGUCGAACGGGAAACCUUUUAUUGCAGCUUCGGCAGAUUUAGCUGGUUUCUAGUGGCGGACGGGUGAGUAACGCGUGGGUAACCUGCCUUAUACAGGGGGAUAACAGUCAGAAAUGGCUGCUAAUACCGCAUAAGCGCACAGAGCUGCAUGGCUCAGUGUGAAAAACUCCGGUGGUAUAAGAUGGACCCGCGUUGGAUUAGCUGGCUGGGGGGGUAAAGGCCCACCAAGGCGACGAUCCAUAGCAGGCCAGAGAGGGUGAACGGCCACAUUGGGACUGAGACACGGCCCAGAAUCCUACGAGAGGCAGCAAUGGGGAAUAUUGCCCAAUGGGGGAAAGCCUGAUGCGGCGACGCCGCGUGAAGGAAGAAGUAUCUCGGUAUGUAAACUUCUAUCAGCAGGGAAGAUAAUGACGGUACCUGACUAAGAAGCCCCGGCUAACUACGUG